GGUGGAGAGGCCCUUUGUAAGGCUUGCCAAGUCACAGCCCACAGCAGAGGACACUUGAUCGCAGGGAGCCCCUGUCUAAACAACAUGGCUUGGACCCUGGAGCAAGCAGACUUGGAAAGGCAUGGGGAUAGGGGCCCUGGUCUUGAUCCAUGGAGAGGUGGUGCACAAGAGUGAGCAGAACCUUUCAGACCACUCACGCCAGGCCUACACUUUCCACCUCAUGGAAGCCACUGGCACCGUCUGGAGCCCUGAGAACUGGCUCCAGCCGACAGCUGAGCUGCCGUUUCCUGCCUUGUACACCUAAAGCCCUUGAAGGGUUGGGACCAUCACCUCCCAGUGCAGCUGUGGACUACAAACCCCAGCACGCUGCCUCCCGUGCCGGCUGCAGUGGGGAAGCUGUGAACCUGCAGAGCUCUCCUCCUUCAGGGUCUGUGCUUUCAGCCCUGUAGAAGCUGGGGGAGGCUGAUGUGGCAGGGCCUUCCCCAAGAUCUUGGUCUCUCUGCACCUUACUCCCCCACACAAACUUCCCCUUGAGGUGGCCUCUCAGCCAUGAAAGAGGUCUGGUCCAUUUUCAAGUCCUCUCUCAGGAGCAACUCUAAUAAUUACGCUGUAAGACACUCAAUAAAAAUGACUUCUGAAUGUA